rnacentral:ncRNA from 1 species
UUGAGCCGUGUGCCGUGACGAAUGGCACGCACGGUUCUGAGGGGGCGGGGACGCAGUAAUGCGUCCCCGCUACCCGAC